UUGAAAAGUUAUGGUGGAAAACUUUAUGUAUCUCGUGUUUCCCUGACUCGAUUUUAAUUCUGUUUUCUUUAGAUUAUAGAGGAAGAGCGGUUUAAUCGAUUGGACUAUUAAUCCAUACCGUUCAGUGCCGAGAAGUGCUCUUAAAUUGGUCUCCAAUUUCAUCAGUUUUGGUCAUUAUUGAAAAGUUAUGGUGGAAAACGAUUAUAGAGGAAAAGUGUUUAAUCGAUUGAACUAUUAACGCACACCCUAAAUUGCCGAGAAGUGUACUUAAAUCGAUCUCCAAUUUCAUCAGUUUUGGUCAUUAUUGAAAAGUUAUGGUGGAAAACGGUCUGUAUCUCGCAUUUCAUUGUCUCGAUUUUAAUUCUGUUUUCUUAAGAUUAUAGAGGAAGAGUGUUUUAAUUGAUUGGAUUAUUAAUGCACAUCCUGAAGUGCCGGAAGUGCCCUAAAAUUGGUCUCCAAUUUUAUCAAUUUUGGUCAUUUGUAAAAAGUUAUGGUGGAAAACGGUCUGUAUCUCGCGUUUCCCUGACUCGAUUUUAAUUUUGUUUUCUUUAGGGUAUAGAGGAAGAGCGGUUUAAUCGAUUGGACUGUUAAUCCACCCCGCAAAGUGCCGGGAAGUGCCCUUGAAUCUACCUCCAAUUUCAUCAGUUUUGGUCAUUUUUGAAAAGUUAUGGUGGAAAACGAGGAAGUGCGGUUUAAUCGAUUGGAUUAUUAAUCCACACCGUAAAGUACCGAGAAGUGCCUUUAAAUCGUCCUCCAGUUUCAUCAAUUUUGGUCAUUUUUGAAAAGUUAUGGUGGAAAACGAGAAAGAGUGUUUUAAUCGAUUGGAUUUUUAAUGCACACCGUAUAGUACCGGGAAGUGCCCUAAAAUUGGUCUCCAAUUUCAUCAAUUUUGGUCAUUUUUGAAACGUUAUGGUGGAAAACGGUUUGUAUCUCGUGUUUCCGUGGCCCGAUUUUAAUUCUGUUUUCUUCAGUUUAUGGAGGAAGAGUGUUUUUAUCGAUUGAAUUGUUAUCUCAACUUUCAAGUUUCGGUAAGUGCUCUUAAAUUGGUCUGAACUUUUAUUAAUUUUGGUCAUUAUUAAAAAGUUUGGUAGAAAAUGGGUCUAGAAAUUAAUGAUUUUCAGUAGGAGCAUUGUAGAAUUUUGGCCGAGUAUGUUAGUAGUACCAAAACUGGCGCUGCUUUCAUAGUUUAGGUUUGCGCGAUGUUUGUAUGUAAACAUUUUUUACGUGUUCAGCCAGCGUAUCGCAAUACUGAUAGCGACCGCGUGUUGCCAACGUACGUUUGCCGUGAGCAGUUUCAUUCCGGCCAUCGAAUGAAUUGCGCGUGUUCAUCGCUACUAGUUUUGCCAGAACAUUUUUAAGUAAUCACAUAAUAUUUAUUAAACAAAAGGCGGCAUGUACUGAUAUCGGGCGUCGUCGAGGUUUCACAAGUGUAAUACACGCGUUGAGUGUUUAUCAUU